rnacentral:rRNA from 1 species
UGACCUAGAGUUUUUAAACUGACUCAGGACGAACGCUGGCGGCGUGCUUAACACAUGCAAGUCGAACGAUGAAGCCCUUCGGGGUGGAUUAGUGGCGAGCGGGUGAGUAACACGUGGGCAAUCUGCCCUGCACUCUGGGACAAGCCCUGGAAACGGGGUCUAAUACCGGAUAUGACCUUGGAAGGCAUCUUUGAAGGUGGAAAGCUCCGGCGGUGCAGGAUGAGCCCGCGGCCUAUCAGCUUGUUGGUGGGGUGAUGGCCUACCAAGGCGACGACGGGUAGCCGGCCUGAGAGGGCGACCGGCCACCCUGGGACUGAGACACGGCCCAGACUCCUACGGGAGGCAGCAGUGGGGAAUAUUGCACAAUGGGCGAAAGCCUGAUGCAGCGACGCCGCGUGAGGGAUGCCGGCCUUCGGGUUGUAAACCUCUUUCAGCAGGGAAGAAGCGAAAGUGACGGUACCUGCAGAAGAAGCGCCGGCUAACUACGUGCCAGCAGCCGCGGUAAUACGUAGGGCGCAAGCGUUGUCCGGAAUUAUUGGGCGUAAAGAGCUCGUAGGCGGCUUGUCGCGUCGGAUGUGAAAUCCCGGGGCUUAACCCCGGGUCUGCAUUCGAUACGGGCAGGCUAGAGUUCGGUAGGGGAGAUCGGAAUUCCUGGUGUAGCGGUGAAAUGCGCAGAUAUCAGGAGGAACACCGGUGGCGAAGGCGGAUCUCUGGGCUCGAUACUGACGCUGAUGACGCGAAC